rnacentral:other from 1 species
UUAAUUCUGCGUGGUUUGUCACCGAUUUCCCAUGUUGAGCCAAUGCCGUUGAUAAGGGAGCCCGACGCCGCUCUGAUAGCCAGUGCAUUCCUUCAUUGUUAAGGAACUGCCAAAGGCCGCGGCUAACAAAAGGGCACCCACCUGUUGAGUGCAGGUUCAAUUACGGCUUCGGAACGGCUUCGCGGAUGUCCC